GAUGAACGCUGGCGGCGUGCCUAAUACAUGCAAGUCGAGCGAACAGACGAUGAUCUUGCUCCUCUGACGUUAGCGGCGGACGGGUGUGUAACACGUGGAUAACCUACCUAUAAUACUGGGAUAACUUCGGGAAACCGGAGCUAAUACCGGAUAACAUGUUGAACCACGUGGUUCAACGGUGAAAGACGGUUUUGCUGUCUGUUAUAGCUGGAUCCGCGCCGCAUGAGCUAGUUGUUAAGGUAACGGCUUACCACGGCAACGAUGCGUAGCCGACCUGAGAGAGUGAUAGCCCACACUGGAGCGGAGACGCGGUCCAGACGACUACGGGAGGGAGCAGUAGGGAACCUGACGCAAUAGGCGGAAGUAUGACGGAGCAACGCGGAGUGAGUGAAGAAGACGUUCGGAGCGUAAAAAUCUGUUACUAGGGAAGAACAAAUGUGUAAGUAACUAUGCACGGAUUGACGGUACCUAAUAAGAAAGCCACGGCUAACUACGUG
rnacentral:rRNA from 1 species